GUCCACGCCGUAAACGUUGGGCACUAGGUGUGGGACUCUAUCGACGGGUUCCGUGCCGUAGCUAACGCAUUAAGUGCCCCGCCUGGGGAGUACGGCCGCAAGGCUAAAACUCAAAGGAAUUGACGGGGGCCCGCACAAGCGGCGGAGCAUGUGGCUUAAUUCGAUGCAACGCGAAGAACCUUACCUGGGUUGAACUAUGCAGGAAAAGCCGUAGAGAUACGGUGUCCUUCGGGGUCUGCGAUAGGUGGUGCAUGGCUGUCGU
rnacentral:rRNA from 1 species